CAGAGCGUCAGGCGGAUGUUAAAGCUAAUUGAAGAGGAUGGAGAUUCAUUUGCUAAAAAGGCUGAAAUGUAUUAUCAGAAGAGGCCAGAAUUGAUUUCUCUUAUUGAAGAGUUCUACCGCAUGUACCGGUCUCUGGCCGAACGUUAUGAUCAUGUGACAGGAGAACUGAGGAAGAAUAUUCCAUCUGAUCUGCAAUCCCAGGGCUCAGGCAUUUCUGAUGUUUUGUCCGAACCGACCUCAGUAUGGCCCUCUCCUGUACAUGAACAGAGGCUGCCUCAUCGUAAAUCUGGGACCCAAGCUGCUGGUUUUGAAUUCUUUGUUGGUUCUGGUGGAAGCAGCUCUGAUCUUCAUAAAGAAGGAGAUGAAUCAUCUACUGUAACAGAUUAUGAGUCAGAAUCUGAUGACUCCCCAGUAAACAAUUACUCAGGUCUACUAGGGAAUGGUGGUGAUCAUGCACAGAACAGGAAGACAAUUGAACUAGAGAUUGAGUUACGUGAAAUGAAAGAGAAACUCUUGUUGCAUCAGGAGGAGAAUGGAGAUGGCUCAUUUAGGGAGGUGAGGAAUGAGAUUUCUGAAGAUGUUCUUGCUAGGAUUGUGGGAUAUGAGCAAGAGCUGAAGAUUGCUAAACAGAGGAUACUGCUUUCUGAAGAAGAGGCGG
rnacentral:misc_RNA from 1 species